AGAGUUUGAUCCUGGCUCAGGAUGAACGCUGGCGGCGUGCCUAAUACAUGCAAGUCGAACGCGAGCAGCAAUGCUCGAGUGGCGAACGGGUGAGUAAUACAUAAGUAACCUGCCCUAGACAGGGGGAUAACUGCUGGAAACGGCAGCUAAGACCGCAUAGGUAUGGACACUGCAUGGUGACCAUAUUAAAAGUGCCAAGGCACUGGUAGAGGAUGGACUUAUGGCGCAUUAGCUGGUUGGUGAGGUAACGGCUCACCAAGGCGACGAUGCGUAGCCGACCUGAGAGGGUGACCGGCCACACUGGGACUGAGACACGGCCCAGACUCCUACGGGAGGCAGCAGUAGGGAAUUUUCGGCAAUGGGGGGAACCCUGACCGAGCAACGCCGCGUGAAGGAAGAAGGAAUUCGUUCUGUAAACUUCUGUUAUAAAGGAAGAACGGCGGAUAUAGGGAAUGAUAUCCGAGUGACGGUACUUUAUGAGAAAGCCACGGCUAACUACGUGCCAGCAGCCGCGGUAAUACGUAGGUGGCGAGCGUUAUCCGGAAUUAUUGGGCGUAAAGAGGGAGCAGGCGGCGGCAGAGGUCUGUGGUGAAAGACUGAAGCUUAACUUCAGUAAGCCAUAGAAACCGGGCUGCUAGAGUGCAGGAGAGGAUCGUGGAAUUCCAUGUGUAGCGGUGAAAUGCGUAGAUAUAUGGAGGAACACCAGUGGCGAAGGCGACGGUCUGGCCUGUAACUGACGCUCAUUCCCGAAAGCGUGGGGAGCAAAUAGGAUUAGAUACCCUAGUAGUCCACGCCGUAAACGAUGAGUACUAAGUGUUGGGAGUCAAAUUUCAGUGCUGCAGUUAACGCAAUAAGUACUCCGCCUGAGUAGUACGUUCGCAAGAAUGAAACUCAAAGGAAUUGACGGGGGCCCGCACAAGCGGUGGAGCAUGUGGUUUAAUUCGAUGCAACGCGAAGAACCUUACCUGGUCUUGACAUCCACGGAAGUUUUCAGAGAUGAGAAUGUGCCUUCGGGAACCGUGAGACAGGUGCUGCAUGGCUGUCGUCAGCUCGUGUUGUGAAAUGUUGGGUUAAGUCCCGCAACGAGCGCAACCCUUAUCCUUUGUUGCCAGCGGUCCGGCCGGGAACUCAAAGGAGACUGCCAGUGAUAAACUGGAGGAAGGUGGGGAUGACGUCAAGUCAUCAUGGCCCUUACGACCAGGGCUACACACGUGCUACAAUGGCGCAUACAAAGAGAAGCGACCUCGCGAGAGCAAGCGGACCUCAUAAAGUGCGUCGUAGUCCGGAUUGGAGUCUGCAACUCGACUCCAUGAAGUCGGAAUCGCUAGUAAUCGUGGAUCAGAAUGCCACGGUGAAUACGUUCCCGGGCCUUGUACACACCGCCCGUCACACCAUGGGAGUGGGUUGCAAAAGAAGUAGGUAGCUUAACCUUCGGGAGGGCGCUUACCACUUUGUGAUUCAUGACUGGGGUGAAGUCGUAACAAGGUAACCGUAGGGGAACCUGCGGUUG
rnacentral:rRNA from 1 species